ensembl:lncRNA
UUCACGUGGGUAUCUACUGGAAACUGUAUGUCUGACACAGACGACACUCAGUGACUUACGUUUUAACACUGAAUUGAACAUGAACUGAACACCUCGAAGCUUAUCUGCCAGCUUUAAACAGCAAGCCAAGGCCAUGUGACUCACUGUAGGAUCUAUCAAUUUUUUAUUGAACGGGUUGGCAUAUCUGAUAAACUGGCCGCUCAGAGUAUUUUAUUCGUUUUAAACAACUGCAUAUUUAAAUGUAAAUGUUUUAGUCUUUUUAUGUAUUAAUUUAUUUUACUUUUAAAUAUUUGGUCAACUUCCAUUUGUCUUUAAGCUGUGAAAGUGUCGGGAAUUUUGCUAUUAAACUUCCACAGAGAAUCCACAUUGUCUUUACUCUAUCUAGCCAGAAGGUGGCAGUGUGCCCACUAUCUUAUAGAUACUACAAUUGUUUUGGUUAUAUUCCCUAUGUGCAACCACCGCCAAAUAUAACAAAUAUUAGUGAGUGCAUUUGAAAUGUUCUGAAUUCAACAUCUGCACUACUAUGUUGAUUUGCAUAUCAUUUAUAUGCCAUGCUCCAGAAAUCCUUUCAAUCAAACGAUGUGGGAACAUUUGUUUUCCCAUUGGUUUUUAAAGGCCUCUGCCAAGGGUCUGAAGUGUUAAUCCAUUUGCUUUUUGUCAUAUGUUCCUUUUUAUUUAGAAUGUACUACUGUCACUGUAAAUACUGUAUAUUAAUCUAUAUUCCGUUUCAAUAUUGCGUAUUCCACUUUAUUGUUGUUGCAGAAACCAUAAUGUCCAUGAUGUACUAUAAUAAAUAUGAUUUCUGUGUUUUUUCAUGAUUUUGUCCAUUCCUUUAGGAUUGGAAAGUUGAUGAAUACAUUACAUUUAAUCAGAUUUAAAUAACAUCCUAGUAACAUCCUAGUUAGGGAGGAUAACACAUCAAUGUUCUUCCAUCCUCUUUCCUGACAGUGACACCUCAUGCAAACGAUGUGCCAUUGUCUCUUUAUUUCCCCCUGACAUUUAUUCAUGAAAGUCAGACUUGUUUUGAUGGGUUGUUUUGGUCUACCAUGUGGUCUAGUUUAAAGCACAACAAAUGACUGGUCAUUUUUGUAGGAUUCAGUCUAAGAUGAAAUCAAGCAAAAAGGGCCUUUUGUCAUCUUUUUUGUUUAUUUUUUAUAUUGUUUCUAAUGGCCUCUUAUAAGAAGCCUUUUCAAAGGAGAAUGGCUUCUGUUUUUGUUUGUUUAUUUGUUUGUUUGACUGCUCAUUAGCUAUUCCCGAAGCAGCGGCUACAAAUCCCAAAAUACAUUUUCAUCAAAAAAGAAAGCCAAGGCUUGUAGAAUGCUAUCCUUAUCUCUUCUCCAGGUCAUGGACAAUGGUUGUGAUGUUGAAAAUGACUAUUAAAAGUCGC